rnacentral:rRNA from 1 species
CGCUAUCACUCCUACGGGAGGCAGCAGUGGGGAAUAUUGCACAAUGGGGGAAACCCUGAUGCAGCCAUGCCGCGUGUGUGAAGAAGGUCCUUCGGGUUGUAAAGCACUUUCAGUAGGGAGGAAGGUAGUGUAGUUAACACCUGCACUAUUUGACGUUACCUACAGAAGAAGCACCGGCUAACUCCGUGCCAGCAGCCGCGGUAAUACGGAGGGUGCGAGCGUUAAUCGGAAUUACUGGGCGUAAAGCGCAUGCAGGCGGCCUGUUAAGUCAGAUGUGAAAGCCCGGGGCUUAACCUCGGAAUUGCAUUUGAAACUGGCAGGCUAGAGUCUUGUAGAGGGGGUAGAAUUUCAGGUGUAGCGGUGAAAUGCGUAGAGAUCUGAAGGAAUACCAGUGGCGAAGGCGGCCCCCUGGACAAAGACUGACGCUCAGAUGCGAAAGCGUGGGGAGCAAACAGGAUUAGAUACCCUGGUAG